rnacentral:rRNA from 1 species
UACGUAGGGCGCAAGCGUUAUCCGGAAUUAUUGGGCGUAAAGGGCUCGUAGGCGGUCUGUCGCGUCGGGUGUGAAAACUCAGGGCUUAACCCUGAGCCUGCUCCCGAUACGGGCAGACUAGAGGUAUGCAGGAGAGAACGGAAUUCCUGGUGUAGCGGUGAAAUGCGCAGAUAUCAGGAGGAACACCGAUGGCGAAGGCAGGUCUCUGGGCCACUACUGACGCUGAGAAGCGAAAGCAUGGGGAGCGAACAGG